rnacentral:rRNA from 1 species
ACCUACGGGGGGCAGCAGUGGGGAAUUGUUCGCAAUGGGCGCAAGCCUGACGACGCAACGCCGCGUGGAGGACGAAGAUCUUCGGGUCGUAAACUCCUGUCGAGUGGGACGAACGGCCCGCGGGUGAAUAAUCCGCGGGAGUGACGGUACCGCGUGAGGAAGCCCCGGCUAACUCCGUGCCAGCAGCCGCGGUAAUACGGGGGGGGCUAGCGUUGUUCGGAAUUACUGGGCGUAAAGCGCUCGUAGGCGGCCAACUAAGUCGGACGUGAAAUCCCUCGGCUCAACCGAGGAAUUGCGUCCGAUACUGGAUGGCUCGAAUCCGGGAGAGGGAUGUGGAAUUCCAGGUGUAGCGGUGAAAUGCGUAGAUAUCUGGAGGAACACCGGUGGCGAAGGCGGCAUCCUGGACCGGUAUUGACGCUGAGGAGCGAAAGCCAGGGGAGCAAACGGGAUUAGAUACCCCGGU